UGGAUUAAGAUUGGUGUCGUGA
rnacentral:siRNA from 1 species